GAGAAUUCUGGUUGAUCCUACCAGUAAUGUACGCUCGUCUCAAAGGUUAAGCCAUGCAUGUCUAAGUACAAACUAAAAUAAAGUGAAACCGCAAAAGGCUCAGUAUAACAGCUGUAAUUUCUUAGAUCAUAUUCCCAGUACUUGGAUAACUGUGGAAAAUCUAGAGCUAAUACAUGCAAAGAAUGCGAGUACCGUAAAAAGUUCUCGUGCAGUUAUUAGACAAACCAAUCGGCUCUCGGGCUGUUUUAUGUGGUGGAACUCUAGAUAACUUUGCUGAUCGUAUGGCCUAGUGCCGACGACAGAUCUUUCAAAUGUCUGCCCUAUCAACUUUGAUGUUAGUAUAGAGGACUAACAUGGUUGCAACGGGUAACGGGGAAUCAGGGUUCGAUUCCGGAGAGGGAGCCUGAGAAACGGCUACCACAUCUAAGGAAGGCAGCAGGCGCGUAAAUUACCCAAUCUCAGCACGAGGAGGUAGUGACGAAAAAUAACAAUAUAGAACUUUAAAUUAAGUUCUGUAAUUGGAAUGAAUCAAGUUUAAAUCCUUUAGUGAGGAUCAAGUGGAGGGCAAGUCUGGUGCCAGCAGCCGCGGUAAUUCCAGCUCCACUAGCGUAUGUUAAAAUUGUUGCGGUUAAAACGUUCGAAGUUGAUCAUUGUCCAGUACGGGUGUGACACUGCCAAGUAAGCAGUUGUCAUCGCUUUCGUUUACUCGGACUAUAUGACCGGACACUAAAUGAAUAGCAAUGAUGCCUUUCACUAGGCUAGUUGUCUAUUUAGUUCGGCUUACUUUUACCUUGAACAAAUUAAAGUGCUCAAAGCAGGCUCGAUAUGCUUGAAUAGUUUUGCAUGGAAUAAUGGAAAAAGACCUCGGUCUUAUGCUUAUGUGGCGCGCAAGCGUCGCGUGGCUUUUCUAUUGGUUUGAUACAGAUCAAGAGGUAAUGAUUAAUAGAAGCAGUUGGGGGCAUUAGUAUUGCGGCGCGAGAGGUGAAAUUCUUAGACCGUCGCAAGACUAACUAAAGCGAAAGCAUUUGCCAAGGAUGUUUUCAUUAAUCAAGAACGAAAGUUAGAGGAUCGAAGGCGAUUAGAUACCGCCCUAGUUCUAACUGUAAACGAUGACAGCUAGCGAUUGGGUGUCACUACUUAAUGGUGCACUCAGUAGCUUUCCGGGAAACUAAAGCCAGUUUCCGGGGGAAGUAUGGUUGCAAAGUUGAAACUUAAAGGAAUUGACGGAAGAUUACCUCCAGAAAUGGAAUUUGCGGUUUAAUUUGACUCAACACGGGAAAGCUUACCAGGUCCGAACUCAAGUGGGUAUGACAAUUUGAUAGCGUUUUCACGAAUUUGAGGGUAGUGGUGCAUGGCCGUUCUUAGUUCGUGGAUUGAUUUGUCUGGUUAAUUCCGAUAACGAACGAGACUCAAUUAUUUAACUAGAUACCUAUCAGCCGUUGAGGCGCUGAAGCUCUUCGUAGGCGGCCAGCAAUGGUCGUUUGUGGGGAGUGGAGCCUCACCUGAUAGUUUGGUGCAUUCGCUUUCGGGCGAGUGUUACUCUAUCUGCUUAAAUAGACAAAUUGCUUUCAGCAAUAUGAAAUUGAGCAAUAACAGGUCCGUGAUGCCCUUAGAUGUUCUGGGCGACACGCGUGUUACAAUGAAGCUGACAACGUGCACUCCUUAUCCGAGAGGAUUGGGUAAUCACUUAGCCAGCUUCAUAGUUGGGAUUGUGGACUGAAAAGGUUCACAUGAACUCGGAACUCCUAGUAAGUGUGAGUCACUAACUUGCAUUGAUUACGACCCUGAUCUUUGUACACACCGCCCGUCGCUAUUACCGACGAAUUAUUUAGUGAGAUCUCUGGAGGUGAACACGACGGUAUUUCGGUACUGUUGUUGCUUCGCCAAAGUUGAUCAAACUU
rnacentral:rRNA from 1 species